UAUGAUGAACUCACAAAUGCAACUCAACUACCCGGCAAAAAUUAACCCUUCUCAUGCAGAUGAAUCAGCUAGUGCUUAUUCUAUCAUGGAAUUGUCUGGUGAAUGUAUCAGGAAAUAUUCAGAGCAUAACCAACAUCUAAUGCUGAACUGAACAAAAAACAAGUAUUGCCUUUCCCACAGCUCUACCUCCAUCAACAAAGAAAGCACUUUUAGAAGGAGACAGAAGUUUAGCAACUGCUAAGAAUGCCCAAAUUACAGAUUAGUUCAGCACUAACAUUCUUAAAAGAAUCCCAAUCCAAUAACAUAUCGGGUCUUAUCCUAAAAAAAGCUCUUCUCCAAGAUGGCCAACAGAACAUGAUCUCUAUCCAAAGUAGUUGUAUUGUGCAGCUGUUAAGCUGCAUAUUUCGGUCACAGAACGUGAGGAUAAAAUAGUCGUUCCUGCGGAAUCCAUCAACAAGCAGUUGCUGCACUAUCUCAUUCCCUCCAUUAUCUUUGGUUGGUUAAAAGUAGGAGUUUGCGGUUGUAUUUUUAUGUAUUUAAACCAUUCCCAAGCAGCAAGGAAAA